AGAGUUUGAUCAUGGCUCAGGAUGAACGCUAGCUACAGGCUUAACACAUGCAAGUCGAGGGGCAGCAUGGUCUUAGCUUGCUAAGGCCGAUGGCGACCGGCGCACGGGUGAGUAACACGUAUCCAACCUGCCGUCUACACUUGGACAGCCUUCUGAAAGGAAGAUUAAUACAAGAUGGCAUCAUGAGUCCGCAUGUUCACAUGAUUAAAGGUAUUCCGGUAGACGAUGGGGAUGCGUUCCAUUAGAUAGUAGGCGGGGUAACGGCCCACCUAGUCUUCGAUGGAUAGGGGUUCUGAGAGGAAGGUCCCCCACAUUGGAACUGAGACACGGUCCAAACUCCUACGGGAGGCAGCAGUGAGGAAUAUUGGUCAAUGGGCGAGAGCCUGAACCAGCCAAGUAGCGUGAAGGAUGACUGCCCUAUGGGUUGUAAACUUCUUUUAUAAAGGAAUAAAGUCGGGUAUGCAUACCCGUUUGCAUGUACUUUAUGAAUAAGGAUCGGCUAACUCCGUGCCAGCAGCCGCGGUAAUACGGAGGAUCCGAGCGUUAUCCGGAUUUAUUGGGUUUAAAGGGAGCGUAGAUGGAUGUUUAAGUCAGUUGUGAAAGUUUGCGGCUCAACCGUAAAAUUGCAGUUGAUACUGGAUAUCUUGAGUGCAGUUGAGGCAGGCGGAAUUCGUGGUGUAGCGGUGAAAUGCUUAGAUAUCACGAAGAACCCCGAUUGCGAAGGCAGCCUGCUAAGCUGCAACUGACAUUGAGGCUCGAAAGUGUGGGUAUCAAACAGGAUUAGAUACCCUGGUAGUCCACACGGUAAACGAUGAAUACUCGCUGUUUGCGAUAUACAGCAAGCGGCCAAGCGAAAGCGUUAAGUAUUCCACCUGGGGAGUACGCCGGCAACGGUGAAACUCAAAGGAAUUGACGGGGGCCCGCACAAGCGGAGGAACAUGUGGUUUAAUUCGAUGAUACGCGAGGAACCUUACCCGGGCUUAAAUUGCAGAUGAAUUACGGUGAAAGCCGUAAGCCGCAAGGCAUCUGUGAAGGUGCUGCAUGGUUGUCGUCAGCUCGUGCCGUGAGGUGUCGGCUUAAGUGCCAUAACGAGCGCAACCCUUGUUGUCAGUUACUAACAGGUCAUGCUGAGGACUCUGACAAGACUGCCAUCGUAAGAUGUGAGGAAGGUGGGGAUGACGUCAAAUCAGCACGGCCCUUACGUCCGGGGCUACACACGUGUUACAAUGGGGGGUACAGAGGGCCGCUACCACGCGAGUGGAUGCCAAUCCCAAAAACCUCUCUCAGUUCGGACUGGAGUCUGCAACCCGACUCCACGAAGCUGGAUUCGCUAGUAAUCGCGCAUCAGCCACGGCGCGGUGAAUACGUUCCCGGGCCUUGUACACACCGCCCGUCAAGCCAUGGGAGCCGGGGGUACCUGAAGUGCGUAACCGCGAGGAGCGCCCUAGGGUAAAACUGGUGACUGGGGCUAAGUCGUAACAAGGUA
rnacentral:rRNA from 1 species